rnacentral:lncRNA from 1 species
UUCCCACAAUUCAAUCAAAUAUCUUUGGUUUAACAGUAACAUUUUCAACAACAAAAUUUCAAAAGCAAAAUGUUCAUGGGUUAAACAGCAACAUUUUCAUCAUUCAGACAAUUCAAUCAAAUUUCAUGGGUUUAACAACAAAAUCAACAUCAUUCACACGGUUCAAUCAAAUUUCAUGGGUUUAACAACAACAUUUUCAUAAUUCACACAAUUCAAUCAAAUUUCAUGGAUUUAAUACAACAGUUUCAUCAUUCCCACAAUUCAAUCAAAUAUCAUGGGUUUAACAAUAACAUUUUCAACAACAAAAUUUCAUUGGUUUAACAAUAACAUUUUCAUUAUUCACAAAAUUCUAUCAAAUUUCAUGGUUUUAACAGUAACAUUUUCUUCAUUUCCACAAUUCAUUUAAAUUUCAUGGGUUAAACAGCAACAAUUUCAUCAUUCCCACAAUUCAAUCAAAUAUCAUGGGUUUAACAGUAAUAUUUUCAACAGCAAAAUUUCAAAAGCAAAAUGUUCAUGGGUUAAACAGCAACAUUUUCAUCAUUCAGACAAUUCAAUCAAAUUUCAUGGGUUUAAUAACAAAAUCAUCAUCAUUCAAACAAUUCAAUCAAAUUUCAUGGGUUUAACAACAACAUUUUCAUAAUUCACAAAAUUCAUUCAAAUAUCAUGGAUUUA